AGCUUUUUUUAUAAUGGUGUGUGAAUGGUGAGAGAGUAAAAGAGAAGAUGAAGAAAUGUUGUUGUUUUUGGUUUUGUUGGAAUUUUUUGUUGUUGAUGCAACAAUGGCAAUAAUGGAAGCUACAAUGAGAAGAGUUGUGAAAAGGGAGAUGAAGAGUUUUUUCUUGUUGCCGGAAUUCGAGAUUCCGGCAAGAGAUUGUUUUAUUUUGUUCAUCAUUUUGGUUUGUAAGGAAAUGUAUUGGAAGAAGAAGAUGAAGGAGAAGGAGAAAGGUGUGGUGUAGAAAGAAAGGGGAAGAACAAGUUAUUUAUAUUGUUGGAAUUAGAAUAAUAAUUGUACUAUUGUUGUUGAUUAAUAUAUUAAUUAAUCAUAUAAAUAAUGAAUUAGUAAUUUGGGUUAUGAAUCUUUAAGUAGGUGGUUAGAGCAUCGAUCUUUCGAUAUUGUGUAUAGAGAAAAUUCGGUUAGAAGAAAAAAAAA
rnacentral:lncRNA from 1 species